rnacentral:rRNA from 1 species
UACAGAGGGUGCGAGCGUUAAUCGGAAUUACUGGGCGUAAAGCGCACGUAGGUGGCUGUGUAAGUCGGGUGUGAAAUCCCCGGGCUCAACCUGGGAACUGCAUUCGAGACUGCGCGGCUGGAGUACGGAAGAGGAGGGCGGAAUUCCCGGUGUAGCGGUGAAAUGCGUAGAUAUCGGGAGGAACAUCAGUGGCGAAGGCGGCCCUCUGGUCCAGUACUGACACUCAAGUGCGAAAGCGUGGGGAGCAAACAGG